rnacentral:lncRNA from 1 species
UGGGAACCUGUUUUGGGUGCACGCUUAACUAGAACAAAGCCCCUAUCUACCUUGCUGACACUCUGCUCUCUCCUUCCUAUCCAUGUCGAUCUGACAGUUGGAGAUGUCUUUGAAGAUAGGCGUCCACCCUUGCAACUUCUCCUCCUUUGCUUCGACGGCACGCAGCUGCCUUCGUCCUCUUCUUCAAGCGAACUCCCAUCUCGACGACACGCAACUGCUUUCUUCUAAUCGAACUCCCAUAUUCUUCCCCAUGUUCCAUUAUUGUGUUUAGACCGGCUGAUUUUUUUUUUCCUUUUUUCUCUUUUUUCGCCCCUCUUCUCUGUUCUUAAAAAAACAUAUUGCACGUUUAUUGUUUCUGUUUUCUCAACUUUCAAGGGCUAAUCCAUCUUAUUAUAAGUAUCCGUUGACAGUAAUCUUCCAUGUUUAUAUAUAGCUGUAGAACUGUUAGAAAACAACCACAAAAUGGUUACCUUUAUGGAUACAUAUUUUUUAUUACCUUCAACAUUUGUUUUCGUAAAUGGAACAAAUUAACACAACUAUUCUUCAGCUGCUAUGGUUUGAGUUCUUUGGCUUGUUGCUGCUGUGGAUUGAGUUAUCCCUUUGCCAAUCAAAUAGUGGUGAGGUAGCUGCUGCUAUUUGGAGGAUACUCCCUUAUGUGGUAAUGUGGAGGGUGUAGAAAACAAGAAAUUGAAUUAUUUUCAAUGAAGGAAAAACAGAUGUUGGAAUGGUGAUGUUGAGCAUUAAGGCAACACUAUGGGCUUGGUUGAAUCUGAGCAAUAAAGCCAUGGAUGGGACACUGCUAAGGAAGGCUAUUAGAUUCACUGAUCUGCUGCAGGGUUGGGGCAUUGUUAUGUCUGAGCAAAGGUUACUUCUAGCUAUCUGAAGGUUUUCUGAUGCAGUGUUUGGUAUUUUUUCUGUAUGACGGCAAGCAGUUUUAAUGCAUGUGUAUUGCCUGAGUCGGUAAAAGAGUUCACAAGAGGGAUGUCUUCCGGUGGCCUGGGGAAAACUACUCUUUCACCUUUCAAAUUAACAAGCCAUGCCAUCAAAUAUUUUUGAUCAAAAUACUAACUCCUUACUAGUUAUUAGAUCUAUUGUUCUUUUUUACUUUAUCCGAUGUCCCCAACGGACAAGAUCUAUUAUUCAUA